rnacentral:tRNA from 1 species
GGUAGCGUGGCCGAGCGGUCUAAGGCGCUGAUUUAAGGCACCAGUCUCGGAAGAGGCGUGGGUUCGAAUCCCACCGCUGCCA